UGGGGAAUCUUGCACAAUGGGCGCAAGCCUGAUGCAGCAACGCCGCGUGCGGGACGAAGGCCUUAGGGUUGUAAACCGCUUUCAGCAGGGAAGAAGAUGACGGUACCUGUAGAAGAAGGUGCGGCCAACUACGUGCCAGCAGCCGCGGUGACACGUAGGCACCAAGCGUUGUCCGGAUUUAUUGGGCGUAAAGAGCUCGUAGGCGGUUCGGUAAGUCGGGUGUGAAAACUCUGGGCUCAACCCAGAGCCGCCACCUGAUACUGCUGUGACUAGAGUGCGGUAGGGGAGCGGGGAACUCCUGGUGUAGCGGUGAAAUGCGCAGAUAUCAGGAAGAACACCAGUGGCGAAGGCGCCGCUCUGGGCCGUGACUGACGCUGAGGAGCGAAAGCGUGGGUAGCAAACA
rnacentral:rRNA from 1 species